rnacentral:rRNA from 1 species
UACGGAGGGUGCGAGCGUUGUCCGGAAUCACUGGGCGUAAAGGGCGCGUAGGCGGCAUGCCAAGCGUGUGGUGAAAGCCCGGGGCUCAACCCCGGGUCGGCCGUGCGGACUGGCGUGCUCGAGCACUGUAGGGGCGGGUGGAAUUCCGGGUGUAGCGGUGGAAUGCGUAGAGAUCCGGAAGAACACCGGUGGCGAAGGCGGCGACCUGGGUCGAUACUGACGCUGAGGUGCGAAAGCGUGGGGAGCAAACAGG